UGCCUCCAGCUCUACUAUUAGAGGUAAUUCCUGCCCAGUGAAAUAUUCAACGGCCGCGGUACCCUAACCGUGCAAAGGUAGCAUAAUCAUUUGCCUCUUAAUUAGAGGCUAGUAUGAACGGAUAAACGAGAUACUAACUGUCUCCUAAUUACCCCUAUAAAUUAUACUUCAGGUGAAGAUACCUGAAUAAAACUAAAAGACAAGAAGACCCUAUAGAGUUUUAGCUUAGUAAAGUUUACUUACCCUACAAAGCUUUAGUUGGGGCGACUAAGGAACUCACCUAUCUUCCUUUCUCAAAAAGAGAUUAACUCUAAUAAAGACCCUAUUCAAUGGAUCAUCAAAACUAACUACCUUAGGGAUAACAGGCUUAUCUUCCUAAAGAGCCCUAAUCGAUAGGAAGGUUUGGCACCUCGAUGUUGGCUUAGAGUACCCUAACAGAGCAGAACCUGUAAAAGGUCAGUUUGUUCAACUGAUAAAACUCU
rnacentral:rRNA from 1 species